AGCCGGGUCUUGCGCAAUGAUAUGGCUGUAAACUCCGCCAGGUCCGGAAGGAAGCAACGGCAACAGCUGGACUCAUGUGCCGCAAGGGUGCCUGGCUGUC
rnacentral:SRP_RNA from 1 species